UUCAACUAACAACUUUCACACAGAACACAGUGAACACACUGCUGAGAAAACAGGCUUCCUUAUCUGUGUGGGAUGAUUAGGUUGGAGCAUGUGCUUC